rnacentral:rRNA from 1 species
UACGUAGGGUGCAAGCGUUGUCCGGAAUUAUUGGGCGUAAAGAGCUCGUAGGCGGUUCGGUAAGUCGGGUGUGAAACCUCCAGGCUCAACCUGGAGACGCCACCUGAUACUGCUGUGACUCGAGUCCGGGUAGGGGAGCGUGGAAUUCCUGGUGUAGCGGUGAAAUGCGCAGAUAUCAGGAGGAACACCAGCGGCGAAGGCGGCGCUCUGGGCCGGAACUGACGCUGAGGAGCGAAAGCGUGGGUAGCAAACAGG